rnacentral:rRNA from 1 species
UGAGGAAUAUUGGUCAAUGGGCGCAAGCCUGAACCAGCCAUCCCGCGUGCAGGAAGACGGCGCUAUGCGUUGUAAACUGCUUUUCCAGGGAGAGAAACUUGCGCACGUGUUGCGCAAUUGACGGUACCCUGGGAAUAAGCAUCGGCUAACUCCGUGCCAGCAGCCGCGGUAAUACGGAGGAUGCGAGCGUUAUCCGGAUUCAUUGGGUUUAAAGGGUGCGUAGGCGGACUAUUAAGUCAGUGGUGAAAUCCUGCAGCUUAACUGCAGAACUGCCAUUGAUACUGAUAGCCUUGAGUUUGGUUAAGGUAGGCGGAAUGUGUAAUGUAGCGGUGAAAUGCUUAGAUAUUACACAGAACACCAAUUGCGUAGGCAGCUUACUGAGCCGACACUGACGCUGAGGCACGAAAGCGUGGG